rnacentral:lncRNA from 1 species
AUGAUGAAAUUCCUCAUAUCACCUGAGCUGGCUGUGGAGUACAACAUGCUUGGCCGACAUGGGAAAAAAAAGUUCAGAGAUUUGCGUCUUUUUAAUGUUGUGUAUGAGACACUGAAGAAGAAUUAUUUAACAUCAAAAGUCAACUUGCAAGAAGCAGAGAAGGCUCUGUCCAAGUGGUUCACUGGAGCAAAAGGCAGAGGAGGACUGAGGGCUGCAAGGGUACAAAAUAGACUUACGGCUCUGUAAAAAAAACAAAAAAAGAAACCCUGCUGAUUCAAGAUAAACUUUUGAGUUUUCCAUCUGACUUUUUCCCCAUGUUGCUACAGUUCCAAAUAUCUAAGGAAUUUUGCUGUAGUUUGACAUUUCUAGUUUUUUAAAAGUUUACGCACUUUGGUAUACAGUUACGUAAAAUCACAGUUGUUGGACAAAAUAAAUGUGAAAAAUGUUGUUUUGUGUACUCUUGUGAUUUUUGAAAUGGUUUUAUUUACAAACUAGUUUUUGUUUGCAGUCAGCUUUAAUAUAUUUGGUGUCUUUCUGUCACAGAACCCGUAUUGGCCGUCUGAUAAAUUGAUUUUGUGACUGUUUUGCUACAUGGGGCCCACCCAGUGCCAGAAAUUUGCCAAUUCAAACUAGAAGUAAGAUGCAACUACAGAACCCACUGAUAAUGCCAUUCUAACUUUUUAGCUCAUGUUUUCCUCAUGUUGUACCCACAAAAAACUUGAAAGGUGGGGCCCGGGUGGGUUUCUGUGUACUUUGCCCAGUUGGGGCCCAUUUAGUUCCCAGAUUUUCCUAACAUGACACCUAUAUGGGCUUAUAAAAUGGGGCCAUUAUGGAACCCGCGGACAGUCCUAUAUGGGGCCCAUUUUCAGCCCAUUUCCAAACCAUAUGGGCCCCACAUAUAAAUGUUGGCUGGGGCAGGGUAUCCCUCAGCAGCAGCUGCAAUAUCUUCAGACUGACAAACUGCAUUUAGCUGAACACCAAUUUAAAUUCAAAGAACCGGAAAAUGCAGUUUAUACAAACCGGGUCCACUAAACUACUCCACCUGAACAGGAGAGGAGGGCUUCCUGAACCGGUGUUUGUCAAAACAUCACACAUUGUCAGAUUGGCCGAAAACGGCGUUCAAGCCACCGUCGCUCCAGUACAGCUGAGCAGACUGCAGCCGUGGGAGAGAGUGACUGUGUUUCACACGCUCAGCUCGAGCUUUCUGAUCCUGGACUUCAUGACAGAUCAACCACUGUGAGUAACACUGUUUGGUCUUCGGUGGACUCUGUAUCUCCUAAAUCAGAUAACUCUGCUACUGUGUGUUUGAACUCUAAAGACAUUAUUCAGAGUGACACCUCGGUGUCAAGUUAUUCACCGUUGUCCUCGCUAGUGAUCUUUGUGUUCCUGAGCCGUCAGACUCUGGUAAUGCUCGCAGUGUUUUCUCUGAGUUAGCCAAUAUGGAUUUUCCAGCUGUUGAGCUGAACAAAGGACUGUUAUUCCACCCCAGACUCACCUACACGCUAUUACUGGCACUGUAUCCCCGCUGGACUGUUUUACUCCUCAGCCUGUUGAUUCUGAGGUUUCCCAGCCUGAGCCCAGCCACACACCAUCAACAGUUGUAAAUAAAACAGUGCGUGCUGAGGAGCACAAACAGGCUAAGACUGUGUGUUCUGUAGCCGAUGCUCCUUCUGGUUUGUGUUCCAACCUGUUUUAUCUUUUCACAUUUCCUGUGCUGCCCAGCCAGCCCUGGACACAGUAAAACUUCUGCAUCUGAGACUUCCUGUGUUGGUCCGACAGUUUCCUCUCUGUGAUCUUUUCUGUGCCUCAGCUGGUAAACGUAAAUGGUAACAGAGUGCAACCUGCCAUAGUUAAACUGGCUAAAGUGCUUGAACUUACCACA